GACAUUUCCCAUCCUUCUCAAAAGGUAGCACAGGCUGCAGAAAAGUUCCUUCCCCACACAGGCAAACUCUUACCCUCUUUCUGGACGCAAGCUUCACUGGCCAAGAGAUUGCAAAAGUGUACAUGUUGUGUUUUCUCAAAGGCAAUUGAGGAAUUAUACAUCUUUCCCCACUCAGAGUUCGAAGAUUUUCAAAAUUUCAGGCCCCCAAAAAAAUCUUUUUAAAAAACCCCACUUAAUUGAGGUUAAGAUCCUUUUGACCACUUCGCAGACAUCCUUUUAAAGCUCCUUCUGAUUGGAUUAAAAACUCCUCUGGCAAGCCUCUAGCAGGACAGAAUGGUGACAUAAAUGCAAGCCCCUGAGUUAUUUGUAUGUAAAUAUGAGGACUGCUCCGGUGUAGACUUUCGGUAAUUUGAUACCAAUGCGCGUUGCCUAGUCGGGUAACCAAGACAGCCUUCAUGUAGGGAGAGAGCGAAGUGCUACAUUUAA
ensembl:lncRNA novel transcript, antisense to ANK3